rnacentral:rRNA from 1 species
ACUCAAAGGAAUAGACGGGGGCCCGCACAAGCAGCGGAGCAUGUGGUUUAAUUCGAAGCAACGCGAAGAACCUUACCAGGUCUUGACAUCCAGGUAAAGCUGCAGAGAUGCAGUGUGUGCUUGCACAAUCUGAGACAGGUGGUGCAUGGUUGUCGUCAGCUCGUGUCGUGAGAUGUUGGGUUAAGUCCCGCAACGAGCGCAACCCUUGCCGGCAGUUACUAACAGGUGAAGCUGAGGACUCUGCUGGGACCGCCGGGGACAACUCGGAGGAAGGUGGGGACGACGUCAAAUCAUCAUGCCCCUUAUGACCUGGGCUACACACGUGCUACAAUGGCCGAGACAGAGAGCAGCGAGGGCGCAAGCCGGAGCGAAUCUCAAAAAAGCGGUCACAGUUCGGAUUGUGGGCUGCAACCCGCCCACAUGAAGCAGGAGUUGCUAGUAAUCGCGAAUCAGCAUGUCGCGGUGAAUACGUUCCCGGGCCUUGUACACACCGCCCGU